GACGUAGGGGGCAAGCGUUGUCCGGAAUCAUUGGGCGUAAAGCGCUCGUAGGUGGAUCGGUAAGUCUGCAAAGAAAGACCCGGGCUCAACUCGGGGAACGGUGUGGAUACUACCGAUCUUGAGGCAAUCAGAGGAUGAUGGAAUUCCCGGUGUAGCGGUGAAAUGCGUAGAGAUCGGGAAGAACACCAGUGGCGAAGGCGGCCGGCUGGGGGCGCCCUGACGCUGAGGCGCGAGAGCGUGGGGAUCAAACAGG
rnacentral:rRNA from 1 species